UCUCCGUUGGUGAACCAGCGGAGGAAUCAUUACCGAGUUUACAACUCCCAAACCCAAUGUGAACCAUACCAAACUGUUGCCUCGGCGGGGUCACGCCCCGGGUGCGUCGCAGCCCCGGAACCAGGCGCCCGCCGGAGGGACCAACCAAACUCUUUCUGUAGUCCCCUCGCGGACGUUAUUUUUACAGCUCUGAGCAAAAAUUCAAAAUGAAUCAAAACUUUCAACAACGGAUCUCUUGGUUCUG
rnacentral:misc_RNA from 1 species